ensembl:ncRNA B0495.11 ncRNA
UAAUAUAUAUACUUUUUUCCCAACUUUCCAAUUGCAAAAAGCUGGUCACCAUAUUUCCUCUAUUAGGGAUCUAGUAGUAUUGCAACUCUGCGAACUAAGAGAAAAGUUGCAAUACUAUAAAUAUUCCCAAUAUACUAUUUUUUUCGCACA